rnacentral:rRNA from 1 species
UACGGAGGGUGCAAGCGUUAUCCGGAUUCACUGGGUUUAAAGGGUGCGUAGGCGGGCUUGUAAGUCAGUGGUGAAAUCCCGAAGCUUAACUUCGGAACUGCCAUUGAUACUACAAGUCUUGAAUACUGUGGAGGUGGGCGGAAUAUGUCAUGUAGCGGUGAAAUGCUUAGAUAUGACAUAGAACACCGAUUGCGAAGGCAGCUCACUACACGGCGAUUGACGCUGAGGCACGAAAGCGUGGGGAUCAAACAGG